GGUAGUAAAAGUCGUAACAAGGUCUCCGUAGGUGAACCUGCGGAGGGAUCAUUAACGAGUUCCCCUUAAACGGGUAGAAUUCCCACCCUAUGUUAUCAUUACCUUUGUUGCUUUGGCGGGCCGUCUCGGCCUCGGUCAGGCUACCGGCUCCGGCAGGUAAGCGCCCGCCAGAGGACCCCAAACUCUGAAUAUUAGUGUCGUCUGAGUACUAUAUAAUAGUUAAAACUUUCAACAACGGAUCUCUUGGUUCUG
rnacentral:misc_RNA from 1 species